rnacentral:pre_miRNA from 1 species
AUAUUUUUAAAUCCGUGCUGAGAUUUCGUCGGACACCAACCCAUUUGUGCUGAUGAGACUUCCAAGAUAAGUGAAGUU